AGGCAGCACUCGGGAAUAUUGGACAAUGGGCGAAAGCCUGAUCCAGCAAUACCGCGUGUGUGAAGAAGGCCUGCGGGUUGUAAAGCACUUUCWGUAGGGAAGAUAAUGACGUUACCUACAGAAGAAGCACCGGCUAACUCYGUGCCAGCAGCCGCGGUAAUACGGAGGGUGCAAGCGUUAAUCKGAAUUACUGGGCGUAAAGCGCACGUAGGCGGUUUAUUAAGUCGGAUGUGAAAGCCCUGGGCUCAACCUGGGAACUGCACUCKAUACUGGUAAACUAGAAUUUGGGAGAGGUGAGUGGAAUUUCCGGUGUAGCGGUGAAAUGCAUAGAKAUCSGAAGGAACACCAYUGGCGAAGGCGACUCWCUGGRYCAAAAUUGACKCUGAGGUGCGAAAGCGUGGGUAGCAAACASGAUUAGAUACCCUGGUAGUSCACGCCGUAAACKAURWCWRCUASCCUUUCGGUKCC
rnacentral:rRNA from 1 species